AUACGGAGGGUGCAAGCGUUGUUCGGAAUCACUGGGCGUAAAGGGCGCGCAGGCGGUUUGGUAAGUCAGAUGUGAAAGCCCACGGCUCAACCGUGGAAGUGCAUUUGAAACUGCCAGACUUGAGUACCAGAGGGGAGAGUGGAAUUCCCGGUGUAGAGGUGAAAUUCGUAGAUAUCGGGAGGAAUACCGGUGGCGAAGGCGACUUUCUGGCUGGAUACUGACGCUGAGGCGCGAAAGCGUGGGGAGCAAACAGGAUUAGAAACCCUAGUAGUCC
rnacentral:rRNA from 1 species